rnacentral:misc_RNA from 1 species
GAUGAAGAACGCAGCGAAAUGCGAUAGGUAAUGUGAAUUGCAGAAUUCAGUGAAUCAUCGAAUCUUUGAACGCACAUUGCGCCCCCUGGUAUUCCGGGGGGCAUGCCUGUCCGAGCGUCAUUACAACCCUCAAGCUCAGCUUGGUGUUGGGCCCCGCCGCCCCGGCGGGCCCUAAAGUCAGUGGCGGUGCCGUCCGGCUCCGAGCGUAGUAAUUCUUCUCGCUCUGGAGGUCCGGUCGUGUGCUCGCCAGCAACCCCCAAUUUUUUUCAGGUUGACCUCUGAUCAGGUAGGGAUACCCGCUGAACUUAAGCAUAUCAUAAGCGGAGGA